rnacentral:lncRNA from 1 species
UACUGCUGCUGCGGCGGCGGCUGCUGCUGAGGUUGAAGCCGCUCUCAUUUUCUCCGCUCGCACUCGCCUUCUCUCUCAGCCGCAGGUAAACCCUUUUCUCUCUCUCACAGCAGAUAGCUUGUUUAUGUUUUUCAGAUGUAAACAGAUUAUAAAGAAAUUAUUAAUUGUUGGUAAAUAUUGUAAUAUUUAUACCAGUUAUAUAUAGCAUAAUCAUUUCAAAUUAGCCAAAAUCAUGGAGGUGAUGAGAAAACAUUAUCAUUUCAAAUUCGCGCUUACUUACAAAGUCAAAAUAAUUGGAGGCGAAAACAAAGUUGGUUGCUAAAGAACUAGUUAGGAAAAAGUUACGAAAAGGUUUAUAGGAUUACUAUUUUAGACAAAAGUUCAAAAGUUACAUCAACCUAAGUAGCAUUGAGAUCAUUUCAUUCUAAUAUAUAAAACAACCAAACACAAUUUUUUAUUUUAUUUUAUUAGAUUGAGUUAUUUCAUUCUCACCUUAAUUCUUAGGAUCCAAAAAUUACAUCUGAAUUAUUCGAGAUUUUAUAUGAAUAAAUUAAAUUACCUUAGAUUUUCCCUAGUUUCUCCGUAACCAUUUGGCCCUUCCCCAAAUUCUCAUAUAAAUCAUAUAUAACAUGAAAUGAAAUGUAUCUUUAAAAUUAAAUUAUAAUAAAAUAAUUUUUUUAAAAAAACACUUGCAUAAAUUAUUUAACAAUAAACAACUUCGUGUGUGUUUAUAUAUAUAUAUAUAUAUAUAUAUAUAUACACACACACACACACACAUAGUAGAGAUCUGGUCCGGGCGCCCGGAUGUUGCCAAAAAUCCAAACUUUUCAUUUCAGCUGUGAGAUACAUCCAACGGCGAGGAAAGGACAGAGACCUUUUGGGAAAAAAAGCCGCGGAUCUCUCUUCGGGUCAAAAAAAGGACAGAGACCAUCUUGCUUCCCCUCAAUUGCGCAAAGCAUCUCGCCGGACAAAAUCUGGCUCAUUCUCUUUCGGGUCAAAUCUGUUACGCAUCUCGCCGGACGAAAGCAUGUUCGUCGUCUCUGUCUCCGGCCGAAAACUCACAGCGAUUUAGUCUCCAACCAAGAACAAUCGCGAUUUAGGAGUCUCCCAAGGUAUUUUCUAAUUUUCUGUUUGAACCUAAUGAAUGAAAUCUAGGGUUUGUGUGUAAUCUUAUUGUAUAGGAUUUUGUAAUUUUGAGUUGAUUGUUGGAUUCGCCUCCACCCAGAUGGGUUCAUUUUGCUCACGGAUUACUUCUCUUCCUCAUUCCUGUUUCAAUAUGUCCUUCAUGUACAUAUGUUGUUGCAUUUUAUGUCUUUAGGUUUAGUUUACCAGGAUACUAGGUAGAUUAUUUCAUUGGGUCUCUUGAGCCUUAAUUUUAGGUUGCUCUCUUUUAUAAAGGAUGAUUCGGUUUCAACUGCUGACAUCUGUACCAGUUGGUUCAUGACAUCUGUACAAGUUGGUUCAUGAUUAACUGUUACACUGAAAAUUAAACUUCAGCCAUUCCCAUUCAUACAUUGAAAAAAGCUUCUUGAAUAGGUUAGAGUUUGUGAAAUAUUUUUUUAGUUCAAAAAUAAUCUCAUCUUACAUUUCUUAAACAACACUAUCUUAUAAUUUACUUUGUUGCAAUAAGAUGGAGAAUGUAUUCCUUUCAGUAAUUAUGGUUUAAUCUUGUCCAACGCAUUUUUAGACUUUUGACACCGUUGAUGGUAAGCAAGCAAAACGGACAAAUUCUGAUAGUUCGUUGAUUUUAUUUUCAUGUGCUGUUUUACAAUUUCCUUACUCUGUCUCUCUUUUUUGUUUCCUUUCCUCAACUUUUCCCGACGUUUACAAAUUACAAAUUUGUGUGUAACCAUUCAUGAUCAUCAACUGCAUUGUUCUGAGCAGCUGGAUAUAUGAUAUCAUUUGGGGACAGACGGAAGAAGCUAGUAUAUAUAUGAAUAAUACUGACAUUGUAUGUCCUCAAUUAGUUGCAAAGGGAAGUGAUUUAAAAUACCAAAUUUAGUAAAGUCUCAACUUUUCAUUUAGUAACAUAUUUGAGAAAAAAGAGAUGAACUCACGCACGCACGCACACCAGAUUAGCUAAGGAAUUGAUGCACUUGUGACCAGAAAACCUUAUUAGUUUGGGGGUGAACGUCAAACUAAUAUCUAAAGCUGAUAGGCCAGUCCACAUGUCAAUAAUUUUUAAUACUCCCUCUUUCUAAAUUAUAGUAAUAGGAUCAUUAUUGACAGUUAAAAAUUAAAUUGAGAUUUUUAAAACAUUGCAAUCUUAUGGUGGUUUUGGUAGAUAAGGUUCAACAAAGGCAUGUAUACGUCAAGCAACAUGAGCAUUCAAACUCAUGAUACCCGAUUUCGAAACAAGAUGUGUUAUUGUCGCC